UGGGAGAUCGUCUAAUGGCAGGACACAUGGUUUUGGUCCAUGGAAUCGGGGUUCGACUCCCUGUCUCCCAGCAA
rnacentral:tRNA from 1 species